UAGGUCGACCCGCUGAACUUAAGCAUAUCAAUAAGCGGAGGAAGAGAAACCAACCAGGAUUCCCUCAGUAACGGCGAGCGAAGUGGGAAGAGCUCAGGCUGCCAAUCUCCGGCCGAGAGGUCGGCGAAUUGUGGUCUGGAGACGCCAACUGUCCUCGCCUGCUUCCCCGGCCCGAAGUUGACCUGGAACGGCGCGUCAGAGAGGGUGACAGUCCCGUAGGGCCGUCUGUGGGAAGCGGGUGGACGUCGWUUGGCGGUCGGCGAGUCGGGUUGUUUGGGAAUGCAGCCCAAAGUGGGUGGUAAACUCCAUCCAAAGCUAAAUAGCGGCACGAGACCGAUAGCGAACAAGUACC
rnacentral:rRNA from 1 species